CCCCCCCCACACACACACACACGCACACACACACACAAACAAAGAGGCGUUAGGCUGAGACGCUGAAAGUCCGGAUUUAAAGUGCAGAAAAUGAAGCCAUUGAAUCUGCCUGUCCAUGACGUACAAAGACACACUAUGAGCCAGUAUGAUCCGACCAGACCUUACAUCAGCAUUGAGGAGUUGUCGGAGAAGAAAGAGGCUGAUUGAAGCGGGACAGAUGACAUGGAUCCAUCCUUCCACAGCCAGGAGUGCACCGACCUGUGUCCCACACUUCAUAUAAGACUGGAAGCUACACUGAUCUCACAGCUACACACCACAGACGUCUACACACUGGAGAAGAGUCCCACAAAGAAGUCAUGACCCAGAGGCUGCAGAGAAACAUUUCAAGCCUCAUCUGAGUUUUUGUACAAUAUUUUUGCUGUAUGUAAAUAAAGCUUUCACUCCACAUA